AGAAACACGCCCAGGGCUCCCACUACUUCAGCGUUAUGCCUGUUCAUCUGAUGGGGACAUCUCUACGCUGCUGACCCGUCUCCACUCGGGAUGGUUCCUGCUGGCCCCACUAUGGACUGGACUUUCACUGAUGAUCCGCUAGCUGUUCA